rnacentral:tRNA from 1 species
GCGGGCGUGGUGAAAUUGGUAAACACAAGGGACUUAAAAUCCCUCGGCUUCGGCUUUGCCGGUUCAAGUCCGGCCGCCCGCACCA